UGCACCGGGUGGAUGAGUGGCGAACGGGUGAGUAACACGUGAGUAACCUGCCCCUGACUUCGGGAUAAGCCCGGGAAACUGGGUCUAAUACCGGAUACGACUGCCGGACGCAUGUCUGGUGGUGGAAAGUUUUUUCGGUUGGGGAUGGGCUCGCGGCCUAUCAGUUUGUUGGUGAGGUAAUGGCUCACCAAGACGACGACGGGUAGCCGGCCUGAGAGGGCGACCGGCCACACUGGGACUGAGACACGGCCCAGACUCCUACGGGAGGCAGCAGUGGGGAAUAUUGCACAAUGGGGGAAACCCUGAUGCAGCGACGCAGCGUGCGGGAUGACGGCCUUCGGGUUGUAAACCGCUUUCAGCAGGGAAGAAGCGCAAGUGACGGUACCUGCAGAAGAAGUACCGGCUAACUACGUGCCAGCAGCCGCGGUAAUACGUAGGGUACGAGCGUUGUCCGGAAUUAUUGGGCGUAAAGAGCUCGUAGGUGGUUGGUCACGUCUGCUGUGGAAACGCAACGCUUAACGUUGCGCGUGCAGUGGGUACGGGCUGACUAGAGUGCAGUAGGGGAGUCUGGAAUUCCUGGUGUAGCGGUGAAAUGCGCAGAUAUCAGGAGGAACACCGGUGGCGAAGGCGGGACUCUGGGCUGUAACUGACACUGAGGAGCGAAAGCAUGGGGAGCGAACAGGAUUAGAUACCCUGGUAG
rnacentral:rRNA from 2 species